AGGAAAAUGUGAUGGAGACGCAGAUUUUUUUUUUUUUAAAUAAUACACUUUUUAACACCUUUUCUAUUUUUCAGCUAGCUGAAAUUGCAAUUCGUCACAAGUCAGAUCUUGGUCCGUUCAUUCUCGUCAGUUGGCGUGAAUCUUGACGCUGCCCGUUGCCGAACGGAGUUUUUUCUUUUUAGUUUUCCUGAACGGUUUUUUUCCCCUCAGUCGUCUUCUUCGUUUCCCUGCCCGACCCAUGUUCUAGGCAGAGAAAGGGAGGUCCAUGCGAGGAAGGGGAUUUGCUGGGCUCUCUCCAGGCGGAAGUGGACCGAGGAGGUCACCGGACGGAGGAGGGCGGAGUACGCAUUCAUUGACCGGACAGAAAGGUAGGUGAGUCCUGGAGGAGGCGGAGAGUCAAGGUUCUCCCAUGGCGGGCGCGGAGCUGCUUUCGACAGACAAGGCGGAAGGAGCAGGCCCUGUCGGCAGAUCGGGGUUAUGUGGACACAUGAAUUGAAUGACGGUGUGGAGGCUAAUUCCAUGGUUCUUUCUUCUCUGUCAGUGUUCCCCUGUUUCCCCCCCAAUCCCAAUUUAUUAAAGCAGUUAUUCAUUUACUAGGCAAGGGUAAGAUCUGAUCUGGGAGAGUUGAUGCUGGAGUAGUUCCUAGGGGUUUGUGUAGUUCUUAUUCAUUUUGAUUGCCAUUAGUUCAGUUGCAGCAGUUAAUUAUCAAGGAUCUUGUGUAGUUCAUCACUUUUGUAUCUAUGAAUAUUUCUUGGUAAUGAUUAGUUCAGCAUAAGCUUUGUUUUUCCUGUUUUACAUGUUUGUGUUUGAUUCUUUAGAGUGUUUUUUGAUUGGUAGUUGGAGGAGCGAUGUGCAUGACUGUUUGAUUUGAUUAGGAUCAUUUAGUGCCUAUGCAUUCGAGGGCCAGAACAUCUAUUGGUAUCAAGGAGUCUCAGUGUUGUCGGUUUCCCUAAUUUGAAUGAAGUUUAGUGGUCACUGGACAUUUAUGCAUACACAUAUUACAUGUAAGGUGUUUAACAUAUUAUAUCUGAAACAAUAUGUGGUAUAACUAAUGAUGGACAGCUUGAUACAUGCCACUGCAUGCCAUGGCAUGUGUGUGUGGUUACAGUAGUAGUGUAAACUCAUUCUACUUAAAAGUAAGAAAUGUAUGACUACCUUUUGUUCACCUUCAGAAGACUGCCGCAAUUCCCUUGACCCACACUUCAAGUUCGGAGGAUUGUGUUUGCUAUGCUGAGUCGGUUGUAUCACUUUUAGAUGUUUAAUAAGUACGUAGUCCUCACAAUUUUAUGUUUUCUGACACUAAGUGCGCUUCAAAAAAAUUAGAGCUUAUUUUUGCUCUUUUUGUGUUGUGCAUUUUAUUCCACCCCGCGAUGUUGAUGUGUUUUAUGGUUGAUGUCAUGCAUCGGUUUUUUCAUCUAUACCCCUAGCUUGUUAGGUCUCUUUUCAAUUAAUUAUGAAUUUCUUUUCUGAUGUCUACCUCAGUUGAUUUGUGUCGUUCUUAGUUUCUUAGCUUCAGCUUUUUUAGUAACUCAACUUCCCUCUUUUAGUUUAUUUCUUGUUAUCUUGUUUUCUGUAUGUAAAAGAGUUGUUUCUUCUUCCUCGAAGAAUGUUCUAUUUAGAAUUCAGCGGAACCAUGUAUCAGUGACUUGGCCAUUGAGAUCUACAUGUCCUAUGAGUCAUGUUUGCUUCGUGGCAAGGGAGAGUGUGGCUGUGGUUUAUCCCAGAUAUCAAGUGUUGUUGGAAAGCUUUGCGAGUAUAUCCCUGAAUCAAUCUGCGUACAAUAUUGUUUUUUAAUCAGCGAAGAAUCUUAUAGCAUGUCUUACUGAUAUGAAACAGCGCAGCGUUGCUACCUUCCGUAGAAAACCAAGAAAAAACUGCACUAAUAGUGGUGGAUGAAGAGGACAACAAGGAAGCAAAAUGUACACAUGUGCGAAUGGCCGAAUCUGCGGCCAGCUCUGGAUGCGACUAGUUUGCACUUGAAAAUGAGCUCGAGUUAGGGCUCGAUAUGCUCAUUAGCUCUUCUGAUUUUUCAUUUGGUGUCUUUGUACCCCUACUGAUCCUAGUGUAGGAGUGAACAAGAUACAAUUAGGGGGUACCUGUUUCCAUAAGCUGGGAUUGUGUCUUAGUUCAGAUAUGAAGCUAGUGUGUUAAUUCAGUGGCAAGCUUCGAGUCUCAACAAGUGUGGUUGUGUUUUUUUGUGUUAUUAAGAUGUCAAAUUGGACCGGUAUGGUUUUUUUAUGAACCACUUAUUUGAUCA